AAUGGGCGCAAGCCUGAUGCAGCCAUGCCGCGUGUGUGAAGAAGGCCUUCGGGUUGUAAAGCACUUUCAGUUGUGAGGAAGGUGGUGUCGUUAAUAGCGGCAUCAUUUGACGUUAGCAACAGAAGAAGCACCGGCUAACUCCGUGCCAGCAGCCGCGGUAAUACGGAGGGUGCGAGCGUUUAAUCGGAAUUACUGGGCGUAAAGCGCAUGCAGGUGGUUUGUUAAGUCAGAUGUGAAAGCCCGGGGCUCAACCUCGGAACUGCAUUUGAAACUGGCAGACUAGAGUACUGUAGAGGGGGUAGAAUUUCAGGUGUAGCGGUGAAAUGCGUAGAGAUCUGAAGGAAUACCAGUGGCGAAGGCGGCCCCCUGGACAAAGACUGACGCUCAGAUGCGAAAGCGUGGGGAGCAAACAGGAUUAGAUACCCUGUAG
rnacentral:rRNA from 1 species